ACGGGGUGCAGCAGGCGCGAAAACUUCACACUGCAGGAAACUGUGAUGAGGGAACUCCUAGUGCAUGCACUAUGUGUAUGUAGAUCCUACUUUUAAUCAGUAGAGGGAAAGGGCUGGGAAAGACCGGUGCCAGCCGCCGCGGUAAUACCGGCAGCUCAAGUGGUCGUCGCUUUUAUUGGGCCUAAAACGUCCGUAGCCUGUUUGGUAAAUCUGUGGGUAAAUCAAUCCGCUCAACGGAUUGAAUUCUGCAGAGACUGCCAGACUAGGGACCGGGAGAGGUGUGGGGUACUCGAGGGGUAGGGGUAAAAUCCUGUCAUCCUUCGAGGACCACCAGUUGCGAAGGCGCCACACUGGAACGGAUCCGACGGUCAGGGACGAAGCCUAGGGGCACGAACCGGAUUAGAUACCCGGGUAGUCCUAGGUGUAAACGCUGUGAACUUGGUGUCGGGGGUCCGCAAGGGGUCCCCGGUGCCGGAGUGAAGAUGUUAAGUUCACUGCCUGGGGAGUACGGUCGCAAGGCUGAAACUUAA
rnacentral:rRNA from 1 species